GUGCCAGCAGCCGCGGUAAUUCCAGCUCCAAUAGCGUAUAUUAAAGUUGUUGUGGUUAAAAAGCUCGUAGUUGAACCUUGGGCCUGGCUGGCCGGUCCGCCUCACCGCGUGCACUGGUCCGGCCGGGCCUUUCCCUCUGUGGAACCCCAUACCCUUCACUGGGCGUGGCGGGGAAACAGGACAUUUACUUUGAAAAAAUUAGAGUGCUCCAGGCAGGCCUAUGCUCGAAUACAUUAGCAUGGAAUAAUAAAAUAGGACGCGCGGUUCUAUUUUGUUGGUUUAUAGGACCGCCGUAAUGAUUAAUAGGGACAGUCGGGGGCAUCAGUAUUCAACUGUCAGAGGUGAAAUUCUUGGAUCAGUUGAAGACUAACUACUGCGAAAGCAUUUGCCAAGGAUGUUUUCAUUAAUCAGGAACGAAAGUUAGGGGAUCGAAGACGAUCAGAUACCGUCGUAGUCUUAACCAUAAACUAUGCCGACUAGGGAUCGGACGGUGUUAUUCAUGACCCGUUCGGCACCUUACGAGAAAUCAAAGUGCUUGGGCUCCAGGGGGAGUAUGGUCGCAAGGCUGAAACUUAAAGAAAUUGACGGAAGGGCACCACCAGGGGUGGAGCCUGCGGCUUAAUUUGACUCAACACGGGGAAACUCACCAGGUCCAGACACAUAAGGAUUGACAGAUUGAGAGCUCUUUCUGAUUUGUGGGUGGUGUGCAUGCCGUCUAGUGGUGGGGUGACUUGUCUGCUUAUUGCGAUACGAACGAGACCUUACCUGCUAAAUAGCCCGCAUUG
rnacentral:rRNA from 1 species